CGGGGGAGGCCGGAUCCUGGCCUGUGUCCCGGCGCCCUGUGUUCCGGGGCCUGCGCUGUUGGAUUCGCGCUCCCGCCCCGCAGCCCCCU
rnacentral:pre_miRNA from 1 species